GAUGAACGCUGGCUACAGGCUUAACACAUGCAAGUCGAGGGGAAACGCCGUGGAAGCUUGCUUCCCCGGGCGUCGACCGGCGCACGGGUGAGUAACGCGUAUCCAACCUGCCUCUGACUGAGGGAUAACCCGUCGAAAGUCGGCCUAAUACCUCAUGGUAUCGUCUGCGGGCAUCCAACGACGAUUAAAGAUUUCAUCGGUCAGGGAUGGGGAUGCGUCUGAUUAGCUUGUUGGCGGGGUAACGGCCCAGCAAGGAUACGAUCAGUAGGGGUUCUGAGAGGAAGGUCCCCUAGAUUGGAACUGAGACACGGUCCAAACUGCUACGGGAGGGAGCGGUAAGGAAUAUAGGUCGCUGGACGAGAGCCUGAACCAGCCAAGUAGGGUGCAGGAAGACGGCCGUAGGGGUUGUAAACUGCUUUUAGGCGAGGAUAAAGUGAGGGACGUGUCCCUCAUUGCAGGUACCGAAUGAAUAAGGACCGGCUAAUUCCGUG
rnacentral:rRNA from 1 species